rnacentral:rRNA from 1 species
AAGUCGUAACAAGGUUUCCGUAGGUGAACCUGCGGAAGGAUCAUUAUUGAAUAAACCUGGCUGGUUGUCGCUGGCUCUUCGGAGCAUUGUGCACACUUGCCUUGAUUUAUCUUCAUCCACCUGUGCACACUCUGUAGUCUCGAGGUUGUCGAUGGGUUUCUGUCGGAGGAGGAUCUGCUCAUGCCGCUAUCUUCCUUGCCUCUGAGACUAUGUGUCUUUCCAUACACCCAUGUAGUCUGUCGCAGAAAUGUAAUCAUUGGGCCUUUGUGCCUAUAUAUAAUCACUAUACAACUUUCAAGCAACGGAUCUCUUGGCCCUCGCAUCGAUGAAGAACGCAGCGAAAUGCGAUAAGUAAUGUGAAUUGCAGAAUUCAGUGAAUCAUCGAAUCUUUGAACGCACCUUGCGCUCCUUGGUAUUCCGAGGAGUAUGCCUGUUUGAGUGUCAUUAAAUUCUCAACCCCUUCAGCUUUAGUGGCUGACUAGGUGGCUUGGAUUGUUGGGGGUCCUGCCGGCUGUCUUUGCAGUCAGCUCCCCUGAAAUGCAUUAGCGGAACCGUUUGCGAUCCGUCACCGGUGUGAUAAUUAUCUACGCCAACGACAAUGGAUGCUUUCUGUCUGUUCAGCUUCUAACUGUCUUCUCUGUGGGACAAACUCAUUUGAAAACUUGACCUCAAAUCAGGUAGGACUACCCGCUGAACUUAA